GAUGAACGCUGGCGGCGUGCCUAAUACAUGCAAGUCGAGCGAACAGACGAGGAGCUUGCUCCUCUGACGUUAGCGGCGGACGGGUGAGUAACCCGUGGAUAACCUACCUAUAAGACUGGGAUAACUUCGGGAAACCGGAGCUAAUACCGGAUAAUAUGUUGAAUCGCAUGGUUCAACAGUGAAAGACGGUCUUGCUGUCACUUAUAGAUGGAUCCGCGCCGCAUUAGCUAGUUGGUAAGGUAACGGCUUACCAAGGCAACGAUGCGUAGCCGACCUGAGAGGGUGAUCGGCCACACUGGAACUGAGACACGGUCCAGACUCCUACGGGAGGCAGCAGUAGGGAAUCUUCCGCAAUGGGCGAAAGCCUGACGGAGCAACGCCGCGUGAGUGAAGAAGGUCUUCGGAUCGUAAAACUCUGUUAUUAGGGAAGAACAAAUGUGUAAGUAACUAUGCACGUCUUGACGGUACCUAAUCAGAAAGCCACGGCUAACUACGUG
rnacentral:rRNA from 1 species